rnacentral:rRNA from 1 species
GACGUAGGAGGCGAGCGUUGUCCGGAUUCAUUGGGCGUAAAGGGCUCGUAGGCGGCCAACUAAGUCGGAUGUGAAAUCCCCAGGCUCAACUUGGGAACUGCAUCCGAUACUGGAUGGCUUGAAUUCGGGAGAGGGAUGCAGAAUUCCAGGUGUAGCGGUGAAAUGCGUAGAUAUCUGGAGGAAUACCGGUGGCGAAGGCGGCAUCCUGGACCGACAUUGACGCUGAGGAGCGAAAGCUAGGGGAGCAAACGGG